GUCCCGGCAUUAGGUUUCCAGGCCUGCAGUAAACUAAUCCUUUCCCUGAAGGCUGCUCCCAGACCUUGGCUCACCACUUUGCUUUUCCAUCUCCUCCUUUUGAUAGGGCUUCUGAUGGGGGCAUUUGGAGAGGACCUGUGGAGAGAGAUUCUUGGGAUCAUUAGGAAAUAUCUUACCCCACAACCCAGGCCUGAUGCAAAUAGAUGGAGUUCUGCCCUGCUGUGAGAAGUUCUAUAGGGAUAAUUGUGGCCAGAUAAGGGAAUCUUUAUAUAGAAGUCCUUUCUGGAUUGGGAACUGAAAUCAUAGGUCUAGGAGCCUGAAGUAACCUUUGUCAUUUUAUUGAUCAGGAAACAGUUGAAACUAAGAGGGAAGUGAUUUGCUAAAGGUAGGACUUGAAUUAGACAUAGAACCAGGAGAAAGUCUAGUCUCUUGACUCUACACCUAGUGUUCCUUGCACAUAUUUGCCUGAACCCAGCCCUUGUUACUAUUCUGUACAUUGUCACAAAGCCUAAAAUACUGUUUAGUUAUCUUUUAAAUGAGCACUGCUGUUUACCUUUUCUUUACUACAAGAAGCCUAAAGUUUUCUUACUUAAACUUAUGGGUACUUGUAGGGUCAGAGUCCAUCACAUUGCCUUACAAGAAUUGACACUAAAAAUGAUCUGUAAUAUUUCUACUCUUGAAUGUGCAAACAGAGACCCCCCUCGAAGCUAAGGUUUGGUGAAUCAUUUUGAUUUAAAUGGGACCUUAUAUUUAACAGGUCUUCCUGUCCAUUAUCGUGUCUGGCUUCUAUUCAAAAACAGCUAUCUUUUCUGGGUUAUUUUUGCAUUCACAGUUCUUGACAGGAAAAUCCUCCCAUCUAAUCUUUGCUUUAUUUCUUUGUUUCAGGAGAUUAUCUAGUGUGUCUAAUAGAGCAACAAGUCACGUCCCGUGGCUCCAGGUCUGCUGUUCCAUAGCAUACCAAAAUCAACCGCAAGACUUCGCCUCCAACCUCACCUAAGUCAAGGACAGAGGUGGGGCUGCUCUCUGUCCUGUGAGGAGGUGGAAUGUAUGACCAAAUGGUUAAAAUGAAAAAGAAAGGGCUUCAUGGUGAAGACGGCCUGGGACUGAGUUUGGAAAGCUCUGUGGAUGGGCUGAGGGGUGGAAGAAGAAGAAUUCCAGAUCGAGAACACAGCACAAGCAAAGGCACAGAGUGCCCCAGGUUUGCAAUGACACGCUCCACUCCUCCAGAAGUUUUCAUCCCUGUGGCACAAAGGCUGGGAAACUUGAGAGAACCAGGCUGUUCUGGAACUAACGUCAGUGCAGAAUCUGCCUAAGCCUUGACUAACGUAUUCUUUGCAUUAUUAAACACAGAUUAAAUAUAUAUGGAUAUUUAAAUGUAAAGUGUUAUUUUCCUAAAUCUAGCUUUACUCGAUGUGUGCUUUGACUUAUGCCUUUUCAUUGCUCAUAAUUGUCUCAGGGAUCAUGAAUUAUAGGCAGGAAGGAGCUGGAGCUCCCUCAGCCCCAAAGGCUUUGCCGUCCCAUUUCAUCUGCCCAGGAGAUGCAGCCCUGGUUCUCCCGCCCAGAAAAUUACUGCCGGGUUUCUUCACAUGGGAAUAUACUUUUUUUCUUAGAGCUUAUUCCUCACCAAUGAUUCAAAGGUUAAGGCAGCCAGACAGAGCCUUACAGACCUGUGAGUUUGUUUCUGUUCUGCAAGAAAGUUUGUGUCUGGGGCAAGUUAUCGAAUAAUAAAUUCGGACAGAGUCUGUGGCUUCCUGCUGGUGACACUUGCACCCACUUUCUGUCAGCUGUGUAGACAGUCACUUGUCCUCUGUGGGUGCUUGGAGGGCCCCAGACAAUUCUGAUUGAUCUUCUUUUUUAGCAAUCUCAUUUAUUUCAGGGUUUCUGUUCAACACCCCAGCCUAAUGGCAGGGAAACUGAAACUAUUAAGGAAAGUGGUGGGUUUGAAGCAGAGGCUCUCUAAGUCAUUCCAUGCCCGUGUGUCCCAGUUCCCUUUCGGUAAGGAGCCAGAUGGGGGGAUGGAUCUGGAGGACCUCCAAGAUUUUUGCAGGCUCUGGUAGUUCACUGUGCUUCUGAGGGGCCAGCGGGGGAAAGACAGAUACUGUUUUCAGUCUCUACUUAGUCAUUUUCCUGCUACCCCUAAAACAUGGUUCCCUCUGGGUCUUAGUUAAAGAUUUCCCACCUGAUGGUAGUCGAUUGAUCAGGAGAUUCUGCCUAUGUAUCCUGCGUUUGUCUGUGUCAGUGUAUUAGACUAUAAGCCAUCGGUGUUCUGCAGUCAGUUCAUUUUAGCUAGCAGGAGCUGAUGGUGCACAUUUCCUCCUGACUCUUCAUGUUGUUACUUCAAAAUCAAUGAUUGUGGGAGUAUUUACACCAUGGAAAUCGGCAAAUGUUAGAAAACAGGGCUUUUUUUUUCUACCCAAAGAGACCGGGUUAGAAUUUGUAAGCACACUGCUGCCCUAAACUCCCUGAGGACACUGAUCAAAUCCCAUAGCUCUCUUGACAUAUUACUAAUCACAUACUGGAGUUUGCUGAAAGCUUUUUAAGGAUGAGCACAGAAGCACAUGUUAAGUCACAGGUCUUUCCCAGUUUUAACAUAAAUAAUUUGUGGUCUCUGGGAUGUGCCCUAGUUUACCAACCUUGCCUCCUUCCUAUAGUAUUAGAUUAUCGGUGUUACAUUUUCUCACUGGGGAGACAUGCUUGAUCCCAACACCCAUGCCUUUCAGGGUGGCUUCUCCCUGUCCUGGGUGAAUCAGGAAUCAAAGGGGUUGUUUAAGGAAGGACACUUCUUUUCCAUCUUCCCCUGGACCCAGGGCAAUUUUUGAUAAUCUCCCUCUUCCGAUAGGAGAGUUACCAGAUGAAAAUGACCUAAGGCUUGUCUGGCAGGGAUGAAAAGGAGCAGAUGUUGGGAUUAUUGAUGAGGAAAAGGGAUAUUUGGCUGGACUGUCUCCAGAAGGCAGGCCACUCGUCAGCUAGACUUGUGAAAACGCCAAAGGAGGAAGCGAAAGACCAUGUUUAAUGUUCACAGCAUGCCAUGUUCACUUUGCCCCACCAUGAGCAGCCCACAGACUCUGAUAUUUUUGCACCUCCUGACUUGGAGGUUCUUAACAAUCACUUGACCUUGAUUGUUCCCCCUUAAAUGCCUCGUCUGAAGCCUGAAACCCCAAUAAGACAGCCAACUAGUGAAUGAUUUUAUUUGACAUCCAUGGUUCUCAAGAUUUGGAAAAUGAAUGCAGCUGGUGGUUGAGGGUGGGGAGGCUGGCAAGCUGGCAAGGGGCUUAGCUUAGCUCCUCCCCAGAACCCUGCUCUAGGCCCUGUGCUUUAGUCAGAGUGGUAGCCAGACCCUCAAAGGAAAAGAGGCGAGUUUUCAAGACGAGAGGACAUAAACAUGACGGAGUUUGGUGCAGGAGGGACGCUGGGCCUCUGUGCAUUGCUGGUUCUGACUCAGGAGCCUUUCAGCAAACAGUGCCUGCAGCCCAGGUAAGCAGGGAGUUAAGGUCUGUGGGGAAUGGAAUUUUCCUUGUGGUCGCACAGACUUGUUUUAACCACAGGAAUGAACGCAAGAUUCAACUUGUUCCCUCAGCUAUUGUCUGGAGCUCUUUUCCCUCCAGCCACUGGCAGCUGGAGGUUUUAAUGUGACAUUUUUCUAAGUAUCAUGAUUGCUUUCUGGCCUUCUCUUGAUAGCUUUUUGCUUCCCUCCUCCCAG